rnacentral:rRNA from 1 species
CACGUAGGGGGGCGAGCGUUGUCCGGAUUCAUUGGGCGUAAAGGGUGCGUAGGCGGCGCGGUAAGUCGGGUGUGAAAUCUCGGAGCUUAACUCCGAAACUGCAUUCGAUACUGCCGUGCUUGAGGACUGGAGAGGAGACUGGAAUUUACGGUGUAGCGGUGAAAUGCGUAGAUAUCGUAAGGAAGACCAGUGGCGAAGGCGGGUCUCUGGACAGUUCCUGACGCUGAGGCACGAAGGUCAGGGGAGCAAACGGG